rnacentral:lncRNA from 1 species
CAGCGACCUUUGAAAGCCCAAUUACUGAGUGCCUUCUGCUUUCAUUUUAGAGAAUCCAGCGAUCUCCAAACCUGGGAAACCUGUGUUGUCUAAGACGAGAGGCCCCUUGUGGGUGACAGCUGCUUUUGUGCUCCUGAGUGUGCUGGUGGCUGCAGGCUGCACUGUUAGAUGGGGCCAAUUCAGAGGAAAGAACAACUUUUCCACCUUCAGCCUCAAGAAAGCUUCUAAAGAGCAGCUAGUAUCAGACAGGAGACCUUCGGACUCGUUUCCUUGAUGGGAAGUUGCAGUGCUGUGAGAUGGGACCCAAUGCGGUGGUCCUCAUCACACUCCCCCCAAAUGCUGAUUGCAUAAUUUCUGGGACAAGUUUUCUGGGGUUUGACUGGAUGACAAUCACACUGGAAUAAUCAAGGACUCUUCCUUUGGCACAGGGAGCUUAGAUUGUGGGAUUAUAGUGGCAGUGGGGAAUCAGAAAAAUGAUUGUCACUCGUGCUCUAAA